CUCGAUUCCGUGGGUGGUGGUGCAUGGCCGUUCUUAGUUGGUGGAGCGAUUUGUCUGGUUAAUUCCGAUAACGAACGAGACUCUGGCAUGCUAACAGUUACGCGACCCCCGAGCGGUCGGCGUCCCCCAACUUCUUAGAGGGACAAGUGGCGUUCAGCCACCCGAGAUUGAGCAAUACAGGUCUGUGAUGCCCUUAGAUGUCCGGGGCUGCACGCGCGCUACACUGACUGGCUCAGCGUGUGCCUACCCUACGCCGGCAGGCGCGGGUAACCCGUUGAACCCCCAUUCGUGAUGGGGAUCGGGGAUUGCAAUUAUUCCCCAUGAACGAGGAAUUCCCAGUAAGUGCGGGUCAUAAGCUUGCGUUGAUUAAGUCCCUGCCCUUUGUACACACCGCCCGUCGCUACUACCGAUUGGAUGGUUUAGUGAGGCCCUCGGAUCGGCCCCGCCGGGGUCGGCCCACGGCCCUGGCGGAGCGCUGAGAAGACGGUCGAACUUGACUAUCUAGAGGAAGUAAAAAGUCGUAAC
rnacentral:ncRNA from 1 species